rnacentral:rRNA from 1 species
GUUGUAUGGUUAAGUGACUAAGCGUACAUGGUGGAUGCCUUGGCAGUCAGAGGCGAUGAAGGACGUACUAACCUGCGAUAAGCUGUGAGAAGUCGGUAAGAGACGCUAUUACUCACAGAUUUCCGAAUGGGGAAACCCACCCAAGAUAACUUGGGUAUCGUUACAUGAAUACAUAGUGUAACGAGGCGAACCGGGAGAACUGAAACAUCUAAGUACCCCGAGGAAAAGAAAUCAA